CGGCCUUUGUGCCUUUUUAUUGUUUGCUUACCUUUAUGAUAUAAAGACCUUAUUUCUUACAAGGAGGAAAAGACCGCUGACUUCAGAAACAGCGAGAACCCCAGCUCGUCCCCGGUGAGACGGCCGUGGCCUAUCAGCUGGAACGGUCCUGCCGGAUGGAUCUCGCUUUGAGAGCGUACAAACCCGCGUGCGCGACACCAGGCGGCCCGUAGGUUCCAGGUGCCGAGCACGCUACCUCCUCCAUUUACCUAAGUGCCCUACCAGUAUCAUAUUCUGUGUAUGCUGUGAUGUGAACGAGGUUUGUAAACACAGGCUGGUCUAAUGGAGCCCAAUGAGACCGCCAGAGGAUUAGUGUUUUGUCCAACAGUACUCGACUUGCUGGUAGAGCCCUAAUGACUCAGGGAUGCCCCAAGGGAAAGGUGAGAGAACCUUCACGUCUCUCAGGUAGUUUCCAGCCUGCACUUUCUCCCAGCUAAAGAUAGGUUUUGUUAUUUUUAAAAUUCUCUUUAUUUAGAGCAAAUUCAGCCCUAUCUCAGAUCGGGAAAUUAUAUAGUAUCAAAAGAGAGUCUUCAUAUUAGCAACCCAAAUAAAUAAACUGUUUUCCUGGGUGAUCAAAUAAGUUUGAUUCCUGCUUGAGUUCUAUUUAGAUACUAGGUGGAAUUUUACAAAGGGUCUACGUUCCAUGAACUGUAAUGGAAUGAAAAUAUUCACAAUCUAAAGACAUUUUCACAUUCCCAGUUUACAGCUGAGGAAAUUAAGCU
rnacentral:antisense_RNA from 1 species